rnacentral:misc_RNA from 1 species
UCCCCGUUACCGGGGCAGUCUAGCUAGAAAAAUUCAACUAACUAUAAGGGUUGCGCUCGUUGAUGGACUUAACCAAACAUCUCACGACACGAGCUGACGACGGCCAUGCAACACCUGUCACUAGAUUCCCGAAGGCACUCUCUGCUUUCGCAGAAAUUCCUAGGAUGUCAAACCUGGGUAAGGUUCUUCGCUUAUCGUCGAAUUAAACAACACGCUCCACCGCUUGUGCGGGUCCCCGUCAAUUCCUUUAUGUUUUAGUCUUGCGACCGUACUCCACAGGCGGGAUGCUUAACGCGUUAGCUUCGCUACUACCAGGGUCGAUACUGGUAACAGCUAGCAUCCAUCGUUUACGGCGUGGACUA